UUCCUUCAUUUCUUUUGCUCUUUUUCAUUAUUUCUUUUCUUUGACUUCUUGAUGUCUCCACUUUCUCUGGCCACUCUGAAUGUCUUCAUGUAACUUUUAAGAUUAACAUUCUAGUAAUGUUUCUAAUGCUUUAGAGACAUAACUUAUGAAGUACAACAUGUAUAGCUAAAAUGUUUGGAGAUAAUAUUAAAGGAGUUG